UUCCUUAGCACUCCGAUUGCUCCUCUUACCGAUGCUGAAUCUUGUGAAAUUAAUGCUGCUUUGUUGAAUCUUGUUAUGAAAGAUCAAUUCGCGAGCCUUCCUAGUGAAGAUGCCGCUACUCAUCUGAAUAGCUUCGUUGAUUUAUGUGAUAUGCAAAAGAAAAAAGAUGUCAAUAAUGAUGUCGUUAAAUUGAAGCUAUUUCCUUUUCCGCUUAGAGAUCGUGCUAAAGCUUGGUUUUCGUCUUUGCCUAAGAAUAGUAUUGAUUCAUGGAACAAGUGCAAAGAUGCUUUUAUCUCUAAGUAUUUU
rnacentral:rRNA from 1 species